rnacentral:lncRNA from 1 species
AAUUAGUGAUUUCCUCAGAUCUCCGCCCUUAGGAACAUAUAGGCGGUCUCCCUUUGUCUUCACUAGUUUCCCAUCUAGCCAGAACUGUCGAGUUUUACCCUGCUUGAUAAGGUCGACCAAAUAUUGGGUAGCGGGGUCCUUCUCCAUAAGUGCUCGAAUUUGGUCUCUAGUGUUCGUGGAGACUGCGCUCCCUGAAAGAGCAGCUACAGAACAGAUGGUAGCUAAAUCAGCCCUUCGACUAAGAGC